rnacentral:lncRNA from 1 species
GACGGGCAGCCCCUGCCGGCGACCGUCGGUGCGGCUCGGCUGGCUCUCGGGCCCCAGCCGCUGCUGCGAUUCCUCGUCCGUCGCGGGACACACGGGGACGGCGGCGGUGGGGGCGGCCCUGAGAGAACGGGGAGGAGCGUGGGCCGUCGGCGGCUCCAGCAGCCGGGGGAAGGAGGCGGGAGCUCUCCCUUUCCUCCGCUCGGAGCUGCGGGCGUUCGGGACGCACAGCCGGGAACUGGGAGGACGCGGCGAUUGCGGGCCCGGGCCAGAAUCCUCCAGGAAAAAGAGACAUGACAGUCUACAACGAUAGGUCCUGACAAGAAGUUGAUAAAAGCAAAGGAACGGAAAUUAACAGCUAGUGACCAGAAUUUCAAACCACCAGGAUUUUGCAUUCAUCACUUCCAGCUGUAGAGUUCUGUUUCCAGCUUUUAAAUCAGAUAUAUCCUUAGAACCCAGAAAAGACAAAAAUAUACUUUUCUUUUGUAUUUGUUUUUAUGUCAAAGAAACUGCAAUAUCUAGGGAACAAAGCCAGAAGGGUAAGAUUAUCUAUGUGGGCAUAAAUUGUUAAAAGAAUAGUUGUAGUGAGCUGGGGAUGUAACUCAGUGGUAGAAUCCUUGCCUAGCAUGCACAAGACUUUAGGUUUGAUCCCCAGCAUUGCCCACCCCCCCAAAAAAAAAAGUUGGCAAAGAUCUUCUUUCUAGCCACAUAUUUUUUAGUAUUCUUUAUGUGUGUAUGUGCAUGUGUGAAACAGGGUCUCACUGUGUGGUCCAGACUGGCCUCAAACUCACAGCAAUCCUCCUGCCUCAGCCUCCCAAGUGCUAGGAUUAUAAGUGUGCACCACCAUGUCC